rnacentral:rRNA from 1 species
CCCUUAGAUGUUCUGGGCAGCACGCGCGCUACAAUGGUCUUCGCAAACGGAUGCAUUCUCGAAAGAGAAUGCCAAUCUUGGAAUCUAUGCCUUGGUCGGGACAGUUGCUUGCAAUUUUUCGACUCGAACCAGGAAUUCCUUGUAAUCGUGAUUCAUCACAUCACGAUGAAUACGUCCCUGCCCUUUGUACACACCGCCCGUCGCUCCUACCGAUCGAAGAGUUAGGUGAAUUGUUUUGAUCGAUAAGAUUUGACUAUGGUCAACUCUCGUUGUGAAAUUCUGUGAAUCUGACUGUUUAGAGGAAGGAAAAGUCGUAACA